AAGCUGCAAUGAUGACCUAACUGUCAAAAAGGACCAAUGUUUAGUACGAUCAUUUGCAGAUUCCAAAUUUCACACAGUGGCACGCAAAGAUGUUCAGGAAGUAAACAUUGGCACCCUCUCCAAACCUGAGUGCUCAAACAGGAAAGGGUUUGAAGCAGCACAUCACUUUCUACAGGCCAGACAGGUCCCUGACAACUGGAAAGUAAACUUGAGUGAGAUUCUUGAAUCCUCUAGCAGUGAUGAAGAAGACGAUGAUGAGGAUGGUGAAGGCAAAAAGGGCGAAGAGGAGGAGAAGGAGCCAGAACCA